rnacentral:rRNA from 1 species
UUUAUCGGAGAGUUUGAUCCUGGCUCAGGACGAACGCUGGCGGCGUGCCUAAUACAUGCAAGUCGAGCGGACAGAUGGGAGCUUGCUCCCUGA